CAAAAGCAGAAAAAAGGGGGUGCUUCUCUGCUAGGGUUUCGACCCUAGCCCCUUCAUGCCGCCGCCGCCGUGGAGCCAUUGCACAUGGUGCUCGAAACCAGGAAGAACGUGCGUGGUGCGCGGCGUGCACGGAGGCUGCUGAACGUGGGCGAAGUUGCGGCAGUUAGGGUGUACGGCGAUUGAAAUUGUUGCUGCUAGGGUUCUAAUUUUUUGCUUCUAUUUUGUGUUUUCGGCUACUGGGCUGAAUUAGAUUUUGGUUAGGGUUUGUUAUUUGUAUAUUGGGUUUGGGUAGUUUAGGUUAAAAGGUUUGGGUAUUUGGAUUUUUAUCAUUGGUUUUUGGUUUUAAUUUUUAUUUAUGCGGGCCCGGGCAAAAAUUGGGCCUUACAAAGAACAUUUAGGUAAGUUUUUGGAUGUGUUUAAGCUUGAUUUUGGCUCUCCAAAAUCCAAACACUGAUACUUGAAGUACUUCUAUCUAUACAACAUUGAAAGAAUGCAAAAGUGAAUAGUAUUAAGCAGAGGUAUCAGUACCUUAGGAAGUUAUGUCAAUA